GAUGAACGCUGGCGGCAUGCCUAAUACAUGCAAGUCGUACGAACAGACCCAUCGGAUAUGAAGUGCUUGCACGGAUUUGACUUUGGAUUUUCUGUUAGUGGCGAACGGGUGAGUAACACGUGGGUAACCUGCCCCUUAGUUGAGGAUAACUAUUGGAAACGAUAGCUAAUACUGAAUACGAUGUGAGUUCGCAUGAACAUACAUUGAAAGAAGCGUUUGCUUCGCUAAGGGAUGGACCUGCGGUGCAUUAGCUAGUUGGUGUGGUAACGGCGCACCAAGGCAACGAUGCAUAGCCGGGCUGAGAGGCUGAACGGCCACAUUGGGACUGAGACACGGCCCAAACUUCUACGGAAGGCUGCAGUAGGGAAUUUUUCGCAAUGGACGCAAGUCUGACGAAGCAAUGCCGCGUGAGGGAUGAAGGUUUUCGGAUUGUAAACCUCUGUUAUAAGGGAAGAAAACCUGAUAUAGGAAAUGAUAUCAGCUUGACGGUACCUUAUCAGAAAGCCACGGCUAACUACGUGCCAGCAGCCGCGGUAAUACGUAGGUGGCAAGCGUUAUCCGGAAUUAUUGGGCGUAAAGCGCAUGUAGGCGGCUCUUUAAGUCUGAUGUGAAAGCCAGUGGCUCAACCACUGAAUUGCAUUGGAUACUGGAGAGCUAGAAUCUUGGAGAGGUAAGUGGAAUUUCAUGUGUAGCGGUGGAA
rnacentral:rRNA from 1 species